UAAUGUCUGGGAAACUAGCCUGAUGGAGGGGGAGUAACUACUGGAAACGGUAGCUAAUACCGCAUAACGUCGCAAGACCAAAGAGGGGGACCUUCGGGCCUCUUGCCAUCGGAUGUGCCCAGAUGGGAUUAGCUAGUAGGUGGGGUAACGGCUCACCUAGGCGACGAUCCCUAGCUGGUCUGAGAGGAUGACCAGCCACACUGGAACUGAGACACGGUCCAGACUCCUACGGGAGGCAGCAUG
rnacentral:rRNA from 1 species